UGAACGCUGGCGGCGUGCCUAAUACAUGCAAGUCGAGCGAACGGACGAGAAGCUUGCUUCUCUGAUGUUAGCGGCGGACGGGUGAGUAACACGUGGAUAACCUACCUAUAAGACUGGGAUAACUUCGGGAAACCGGAGCUAAUACCGGAUAAUAUUUUGAACCGCAUGGUUCAAAAGUGAAAGACGGUCUUGCUGUCACUUAUAGAUGGAUCCGCGCUGCAUUGGCUAGUUGGUAAGGUAACGGCUUACCAAGGCAACGAUGCAUAGCCGACCUGAGAGGGUGAUCGGCCACACUGGAACUGAGACACGGUCCAGACUCCUACGGGAGGCAGCAGUAGGGAAUCUUCCGCAAUGGGCGAAAGCCUGACGGAGCAACGCCGCGUGAGUGAUGAAGGUCUUCGGAUCGUAAAACUCUGUUAUUAGGGAAGAACAUAUGUGUAAGUAACUGUGCACAUCUUGACGGUACCUAAUCAGAAAGCCACGGCUAACUACGUG
rnacentral:rRNA from 1 species